UCAAACUUAAAACUUGUCCAAUAAACUUUCAAAUUUCCGUUUGCAUUUUUUUUGUAAAUUAAUCACUUUUCUUGCUUUAUCUACCUUGCAUCGUUAUCUUAAUAUGUUUGUUGUGCAUUUCAAUCUUUAAUCCUAAUAGUUUAUCUUUUUCUAUAAAUAGUCAACAGUUGAUUAUAGUUAUUGUGUUGUGUUAUACCAUUGUCUGAGUUGUUUUUGCAUUCAGUUGACUAAUAUAUUAAGGAAAAAACCUACCUAAGAACCAAAAAUGAAUAGCAGUGACGAUGACGAGGAUCUUAUCAUUAAUGAAUUCCGAAAAUAUGAGGAACUUCACUUUUCUGGGAGUGAUUCCGAGCUGAUGCUAGUAGAUGAUAACUACUCAAAUCGUUCGUUUCAUUCAUCAGACGAGAGCUCUGAAGAAUUUGACCCUUUAAAACCACCUCCCAUACCUUAUGACAUACUUAUAGCAAACGUGGUGGAGGUAUCAUCAACAGAAAAUAAAGAAAUUAAAAAAUGUCAAGAGUUGGUUAUAGCGGAAAAAAAACGUGCCGUGGCACCCACUUGCCGUAUAGCUAAUAAUUUAAGGGGUUUAAUAACAAAGAAGCGAUGCCAUGUUUGUAAGAGAUAUGAUAAGAAGCAUUAUAAGGAACCUUAUCACUUUCAAAAUGUAUCAAGAUGGAUAAGUGAGCAAUUAAAGAAUAUUAAUGAACCUGACUUUGAUGCUAAGUUCAUUUUCUGUCAGCCGUGCAAUCUGCCAUUAUCAGGACUUAAAGAUGACUCACAUUAUUCAGAAUACGGUCAUGAAUUGAGCCUACAAGAUUUUUGCUCAGAUUGCCUUCGGGUAAUCGGUGUUUACAAUAUGACGGAGCAUAAACAGUCCUCUCAGCACCUUAAAUACUGUAAUAAGAAAUGCACCGAAAUCGCACCGAAAGAACCUGAAGAAAACGUCCAAUUACAAGAACCAAACUUAAAAGGUACCUCAAAGAAAUCGAAAGCCAAGCAGAGCACUGGGGCAACCCAGAAACGAAAACCGAAAAAAUCCGUCGAUUUACCGGCACCAAAAUUAACGGACGCAGAUAUCGAACAUUUUAACGCACUCGCAACGAACCAGUGUCAGUUUUGUCAUGUCCCCAAAAACGGACCGGAACAUCACAAACUGAACCCCGAAUGCCGAAAGAGGGAAGAAAGGAUCAUGGACGACAUCAUUUUAAAUCGGCCGGAAAUUCUCGAGCAGUUUAUUAGGCCUUGUAAUCCUGCCUCUGUACUUAAGAUUUGCUGCUCUAAAAAGAAUUGUAAAGAUAAGGAAAAAUCUAAGCUAUUAAAGGAGAAAAGUUACGAGGAAUAUUUACCCUUUGAUGGAUACAUGAAAGUUAAAGUGGACCCAAAAGUAACGAAGAGUAAACCACAUCAAGACGAUCCGUACAAAGUAUAUGACGCUGUGUUAAAACAAAUAGAUACUAACGAGAAAAUGAUAAGGGAAUUUGAGUCUAUUAAAAAUGAUUGCUCAUCAGAUGCGACUUGUAGCAAGUCACUUAAAGAACCUGAAAGUGCUCCUAAGGACUUGCCCGAUAAGAUGGAAAAUAAUACUAAAGCAUCCUGCAGUCAAUUGGUGUUCUCCCAUAAACGUCAAAUGGAUUUCGUGAGCACGUUGCGACGCCUCAUCACCGCCCAGCGAUGCUACUUAUGCCAAGAAAACGUUUUCACGCGAAAUCGAAAAGCGAAAACGAACCACUACCGCACCACCGCCCACUUCAACAAACUUUUGGAUUAUAUGAAACGUAUUUGUCCCCAUUACGGAUUUAGGUUCCGCGAUACCGUCGCCUUCUUCUGUGUCCCUUGUCACGUUUUUUUCUUCACCUUAAAUAUGGCGAUCAAGCAUUAUAUUAAUGACGAGCACAGCAGGUUAUGUUCGCGUUUUUGUGACGUUUGUUUAAUAUUCGACAACUCGGCGAAACAUCGGGAGCACAAGACGAAAUUCGAUGAGUUCAUCACCCUGGAAACGGAUUUAAGGAUUAAAAUUGUCAACUUGCACUUCUACAAAUACGACACCAAAGUGAAUCAUACGAAGUUGAAAAUUAAUUGCGCCAUGUGUAGCGGAAGGAGACAACAUCCGUUAUUUUUGAAAUUGUGGGAGAAAGAGGCAGCGGAAACAGACGAGGAAUCCGAAGGUGAACCGCCAGACUGGCAAAAGCUUAUUGAUAAGUUAAAAGUGACGAAAGAUGUCGGCAAGGAUAAAACAGAUGAGGAAAUGUUAGCGUUAGACAGGUUGGCGGUGACGGGGAGAUGCGGCUUAUGAUAAAAUGCUUGAUCUAGAAAUGUUUGAUAGUCAAGCUUACCAAGAAUUUCUCGAAUCCUGUGUAGGCAAUCGAACUUAAUAGGAGGAGGAGGAGGAGGUAAAUUUUGCUGAUUGCCAUAUCAUCAAUUUUAAAUUAUCAUCAUAUAAAGUCAAGAAGAAGCGUCAUUUGUUUUGAUCUAGGGCUUCUUUUUAUGUGGGGUUUCAAAAGCAGAAAAUAACAAAAAAAGUUUGACGUGAGCCAUACAGACCUAUAGACUGAAACCUACCAUUCUGAAGGGAACAAAAUGAAAACUCCUCGCAUGUAUAUUAUGUUUUAUUGUACAAUAUGCUUAAUAAAUAAAAAAAAAGAAUUAAAA